rnacentral:rRNA from 1 species
AGCAAACAGGAUUAGAUACCCUGGUAGUCCACGCCGUAAACGAUGAGCACUAGGUGUCGGGGUCGCAAGACUUCGGUGCCGCAGUUAACGCAUUAAGUGCUCCGCCUGGGGAGUACGCACGCAAGUGUAAAACUCAAAGGAAUUGACGGGGACCCGCACAAGCAGCGGAGCAUGUGGUUUAAUUCGAAGCAACGCGAAGAACCUUACCAAGGCUUGACAUAUAGUUGAGUUAUUGAGAAAUUGAUAAGUCCCUCGGGACAGCUAUACAGGUGGUGCAUGGUUGUCGUCAGCUCGUGUCGUGAGAUGUUGGGUUAAGUCCCGCAACGAGCGCAACCCUUAUCUUCAGUUACCAGCAUGUAAUGAUGGGGACUCUGGAGAGACUGCCGAUGAUAAAUCGGAGGAAGGUGGGGAUGACGUCAAAUCAUCAUGCCCUUUAUGUCUUGGGCUACACACGUGCUACAAUGGUUGGUACAACGAGAAGCGAGAUAGUGAUGUCAAGCAAAACUCUAAAAGCCAAUCUCAGUUCGGAUUGUAGGCUGCAACUCGCCUACAUGAAGUCGGAGUUGCUAGUAAUCGUGAAUCAGAAUGUCGCGGUGAAUGCGUUCCCGGGUCUUGUACACACCGCCCGUCACACCAUGGGAGUUGGCAAUACCCGAAGCCGCCGAUCUAACCGCAAGGAGGAAGGCGUCGAAGGUAGGGUUAAUGACUGGGGUGAAGUCGUAACAAGGUAGCCGUAUCGGAAGGUGCGGCUG